CCUACGGGCGGCAGCAGCGGGGAAUCUUGGGCAAUGGGCGAAAGCCUGACCCAGCGACACCGCGUGAGGGAUGAAGGCCUUCGGGUUGUAAACCUCUUUGGCAGGGGACGAGAAAGGACGGUACCCUGAGAACAAGCCUCGGCUAACUACGUGCCAGCAGCCGCGAUAAUACGUAGAAGGUGAGCGUUGUCCGGAUUGACUGGGCGUAAAGCGCGUGUAGGCGGUCUUUUACGUCGGGUGUUAAAGGCCCUGGCUCAACCAGGGAAGAGCGCCGGAAACGGGAAGGCUGGAGGGCAGUAGAGGAAAGUGAAAUUCACGGAGAAGCGGUGAAAUACGUAGAUCCCGGGAGGAACACCAUUGGCGAAGGCGGCUUUCUGGGCUGACCCUGACGCGGAGACGCGAAAGCCGGGGGAGCAAACCGGAUUAGAUCCCCCGGUAGU
rnacentral:rRNA from 1 species